GUCCAAAUAUGUGCUCAAUAUCUUCAAUAGCUUCAUUACAGAAAGUACAUUUAUCUGAUUGUUUUAUCUUAAUUUUAAAUAAAAAUUCAUUUGUGCCAAUGAUUCUGUGCACUAUUCUGUACUGGAACCAAUGAAGUUUAGAGCUUUUUGUGGUGUAGAAAGACAUAUUAUGCACUUUUUUCCAAUCAAAAUUUUUAUUUAAUCUUAGAGACCAUUUAUCUUCACAACUAGGCC
rnacentral:lncRNA from 1 species